GAUGAACGCUGGCGGCGUGCCUAAUACAUGCAAGUAGAACGCUGAAGGAGGAGCUUGCUCUUCUGGAUGAGUUGCGAACGGGUGAGUAACGCGUAGGUAACCUGCCUGGUAGCGGGGGAUAACUAUUGGAAACGAUAGCUAAUACCGCAUGACAACAGUUAUUGCAUGAUAACUGUUUAAAAGGGGCAACUGCUCCACUACCAGAUGGACCUGCGUUGUAUUAGCUAGUUGGUGAGGUAACGGCUCACCAAGGCGACGAUACAUAGCCGCCCUGAGAGGGGGGUCGGCCAGCCUGGGACUGAGACACGGCCCAGUCGCCUACGGGAGGCAGCCGUAGGGAAUCGUCGGCAAUGGACGGAAGUCUGACCGAGCAACGCCGCGUGAGUGAAGAAGGUUUUCGGAUCGUAAAGCUCUGUUGUAAGGGAAGAACGAGUGUGAGAGUGGAAAGUUCACACUGUGACGGUAACUUACCAGAAAGGGACGGCUAACUACGUG
rnacentral:rRNA from 1 species